AUGAGUAGGGAAGCUUGGCUUGAAGGCCGGUCUGCCAACUCAAAUAGUGACAGAGAGUGUAAAUCCUGGGAGAAGCUGUGGAAGGUAGAUGUGCCAUCAAAAGUAAAGAUCUUCUUAUGGAGACUUGCUCAACAUUCAAUCCCGACGGCGGAUCUUCUUCACCAUCGCAAUAUGUCCACGAGCACCAGAUGUGGAUUAUGUGGUUCUGAGGAUUCAUGGCAGCACUCUAUGCUCCAUUGCACAGUCGCCAUAUGUGUUUGGGCUCUUCAGGAUGCCGACCUUGUUGAAGCUCUGAACAGCACAAGGGUGCCUGAUGCGAAGAGGUGGUUAUUUAUACUGAUCGACAUCUUAUCUCCUAAUGAAUUCGUCCAGGUUGUUGUGACUCUUUGGGCGCUUUGGUAUUCCAGAAGACAAGCAUUGCAUGAAAAUAUCUUCCAAAGGCCACUUUCGACGCACAACUUCAUCUUCAGAUAA
rnacentral:rRNA from 1 species